rnacentral:misc_RNA from 1 species
UCUUUAGGUUUUUUCCUGGAAGCGUACGACUGCUUGUCAUAUUGAUAUUACUGGAUAAACCAUUAUGAGGUUGUCUUCUUUUACAAUGAAUGUUCUUGUACAUUUUAUCAACUUACUUUGGUGGGAGGGAUUAUGGAAAAGAAAAAAUCAUUCCUUGAAUUUGAUUUCCCAUGGAUUCCUUAAAAGUUUGGCUUGGUGAAGG